GCAAACUUGGUCAUUUAGAGGAAGUAAAAGUCGUAACAAGGUUUCCGUAGGUGAACCUGCGGAAGGAUCAUUAAUGAAGUUUUGGAGGGUUCUCCCUCUACUUCUCACCCUAUGUUUAACUAUUUAUUGUUUGCUUCGACAUGUCAGUCUCUCUGGACGGUUGGGCCACGGUGGUGUUUUGUCACUGCUCCGGCCCGAUUAGUUACUGUCGACAGCCUAUUUAAACUUCUUUGAUAUAAAAUCAUGCCUGAAAACUUGUUUUAAAAAAUAAACAAAAACUUUCAACAACGGAUCUCUUGGUUCUGGCAUCGAUGAAGAACGCAGC
rnacentral:misc_RNA from 1 species